rnacentral:rRNA from 1 species
ACUCCUACGGGAGGCAGCAGUAGGGAAUUUUCCGCAAUGGACGAAAGUCUGACGGAGCAAUGCCGCGUGAGUGAUGAAGGUUUUCGAAUCGUAAAGCUCUGUUGUAAGGGAAGAAUAGCAAGAAUAGGAAAUGAUUCUUGUCUGACGGUACCUUACCAGAAAGCCACGGCUAACUACGUGCCAGCAGCCGCGGUAAUACGUAGGUGGCAAGCGUUAUCCGGAUUUAUUGGGUUUAAAGGGUCCGUAGGCGGGUUAAUAAGUCAGUGGUGAAAUCCCAUCGCUUAACGAUGGAACUGCCAUUGAUACUGUUAGUCUUGAAUGAGGGUGCAGUGGUUGGAAUGUGUAGUGUAGCGGUGAAAUGCAUAGAUAUUACACAGAACACCGAUUGCGAAGGCAGAUCACUAACCCUAAAUUGACGCUGAGGGGACGAAAGCGUGGGGAGCGAACAGGAUUAGAUACCCUGGUAGACUGU